rnacentral:rRNA from 1 species
CGAUUUACUUCGGUAAAGAGCGGCGGACGGGUGAGUAACGCGUGGGUAACCUACCCUGUACACACGGAUAACAUACCGAAAGGUAUGCUAAUACGGGAUAAUAUAUUUGAGAGGCAUCUCUUGAAUAUCAAAGGUGAGCCAGUACAGGAUGGACCCGCGUCUGAUUAGCUAGUUGGUAAGGUAACGGCUUACCAAGGCGACGAUCAGUAGCCGACCUGAGAGGGUGAUCGGCCACAUUGGAACUGAGACACGGUCCAAACUCCUACGGGAGGCAGCAGUGGGGAAUAUUGCACAAUGGGCGAAAGCCUGAUGCAGCAACGCCGCGUGAGUGAUGAAGGCCUUCGGGUCGUAAAACUCUGUCCUCAAGGAAGAUAAUGACGGUACUUGAGGAGGAAGCCCCGGCUAACUACGUGCCAGCAGCCGCGGUAAUACGUAGGGGGCUAGCGUUAUCCGGAUUUACUGGGCGUAAAGGGUGCGUAGGCGGUCUUUCAAGUCAGGAGUGAAAGGCUACGGCUCAACCGUAGUAAGCUCUUGAAACUGGGAGACUUGAGUGCAGGAAAGGAGAGUGGAAUUCCUAGUGUAGCGGUGAAAAUGCGUAGAUAUUAGGAGGAACACCAGUUGCGAAGGCGGCUCUCUGGACUGUAACUGAC